rnacentral:rRNA from 1 species
UAACAGCCGGAAACGGCUGCUAAUACCGAAUACGAUCUUUUCGUCGCAUGACGAAAAAAGAAGAAAAGGAAUGGCCUCUAUACAAAGCUAUCGCCGAAGGAGGGGUUUUGCGUCUGAUUAGCUGUUGGGGGAGGGUAACGGCCCAACAAGGCGAUGAUCAGUAGCCGGUCUGAGAGGAUGAACGGCCACAUUGGGACUGAGACACGGCCCAGACUCCUACGGGAGGCAGCAGUGGGGAAUCUUCCGCAAUGGACGAAGGUCUGACGGAGCAACGCCGCGUGAGUGAAGAAGGUCUUCGGAUUGUAAAGCUCUGUUAUACGGGACGAAAAAGACGGAUGCCAACAGUAUCCGUCCGUGACGGUACCGUAAGAGAAAGCCACGGGCUAACUACGUGCCAGCAGCCGCGGUAAAU